rnacentral:rRNA from 1 species
UAGGGAAUCUUCCGCAAUGGACGAAAGUCCGACGGAGCAACGCCGCGUGAGCGAAGAAGGUCUUCGGAUCGUAAAGCUCUGUUGUCAGGGAAGAACAAGUGCCGUUCGAACAGGGCGGUACCUUGACGGUACCUGACGAGGAAGCCACGGCUAACUACGUGCCAGCAGCCGCGGUAAUACGUAGGUGGCAAGCGUUGUCCGGAAUUAUUGGGCGUAAAGCGCGCGCAGGCGGUUCCUUAAGUCUGAUGUGAAAUCUCGCGGCUCAACCGCGAGCGGCCAUUGGAAACUGGGGAACUUGAGUGCAGGAGAGGGGAGCGGAAUUCCACGUGUAGCGGUGAAAUGCGUAGAGAUGUGGAGGAACACCAGUGGCGAAGGCGGCUCUCUGGCCUGUAACUGACGCUGAGGCGCGAAAGCGUGGGGAGCGAACAGGAUUAGAUACCCUGGUAGUCCACGCCGUAAACGAUGAGUGCUAAGUGUUAGAGGGUAUCCACCCUUUAGUGCUGCGGCAAACGCAUUAAGCACUCCGCCUGGGGAGUACGGCCGCAAGGCUG